UUUUUUGAGGCAGAGUCUCGCUCUGUCGUCCAGGCUGGAGUGCAAUGGCGCUAUCUCCGCUCACUGCAAGCUCCGCCUCCCGGGUUCACGCCAUUCUCCUGCCUCAGCCUCCCGAGUAGCUGGGACUACAGGCGCCCGCCACCACGCCCAGCUAAUUUUUUUUGUGUUUUUAGUAGAGAUGGG
rnacentral:antisense_RNA from 1 species